rnacentral:rRNA from 1 species
AGAGUUUGAUCCUGGCUCAGGACGAACGCUGGCGGCGUGCCUAACACAUGCAAGUCGAACGGAGCACUUCGGUGCUUAGUGGCGAACGGGUGAGUAACGCGUGAGAAACCUGCCUCUCAGUGGGGGACAACAGUUGGAAACGACUGCUAAUACCGCAUAAUGUAUUCGGAGGGCAUCCUCUGGAUACCAAAGCUUUAUGUGCUGAGAGAUGGUCUCGCGUCUGAUUAGCUAGUUGGCGGGGUAACGGCCCACCAAGGCGACGAUCAGUAGCCUGUCUGAGAGGAUGAACGGCCACAUUGGGACUGAGAUACGGCCCAGACUCCUACGGGAGGCAGCAGUGGGGAAUAUUGGGCAAUGGGGGAAACCCUGACCCAGCAACGCCGCGUGAAGGAAGAAGGCCCUCGGGUUGUAAACUUCUUUUACCAGGGACGAAGACAGUGACGGUACCUGGAGAAAAAGCAUCGGCUAACUCCGUGCCAGCAGCCGCGGUAAUACGGGGGAUGCAAGCGUUAUCCGGAUUUAUUGGGUUUAAAGGGUGCGUAGGCGGUCAGGUAAGUCAGCGGUGAAAUUUAGGGGCUCAACCUCUACCGUGCCGUUGAUACUGUCUGACUGGAAUGCGGAUGCCGUGGGAGGAAUGUGUGGUGUAGCGGUGAAAUGCAUAGAUAUCACACAGAACACCGAUUGCGAAGGCAUCUCACGAAUCCGCGAUUGACGCUGAUGCACGAAAGCGUGGGGAUCAAACAGGAUUAGAUACCCUGGUAGUCCACGCUGUAAACGAUGAUGACUAACCGUCGGCGAUACACAGUCGGUGGCCAAGCGAAAGCGAUAAGUCAUCCACCUGGGGAGUACGACCGCAAGGUUGAAACUCAAAGGAAUUGACGGGGGCCCGCACAAGCGGAGGAACAUGUGGUUUAAUUCGAUGAUACGCGAGGAACCUUACCCGGGCUCGAACGGCAGAUGAAUUAAUCAGAGAUGGUUAAGUCUUCGGACAUCUGUCGAGGUGCUGCAUGGUUGUCGUCAGCUCGUGCUGUGAAGUGUCGGCUUAAGUGCCAUAACGAGCGCAACCCUUGCCGUCAGUUGCCAUCAGGUUAAGCUGGGGACUCUGGCGGGACUGCCACCGCAAGGUGUGAGGAAGGGGGGGAUGACGUCAAAUCAGCACGGCCCUUACGUCCGGGGCGACACACGUGUUACAAUGGUGGGUACAGAGGGAAGCUACCUGGCGACAGGAUGCAGAUCUCGAAAACCCAUCCCAGUUCGGAUUGGAGUCUGCAACCCGACUCCAUGAAGUUGGAUUCGCUAGUAAUCGCGCAUCAGCCAUGGCGCGGUGAAUACGUUCCCGGGCCUUGUACUCACAGGCCGUCA